ACAGAGAUUCCAUGGCAAGAACCGCAUUGAACUCUGGGACCAGAAAAGGAGGGAAGCACUGCAUCAUGGAGAAUCUCUGCUCCAGAUAUUAAUGAACCUAUGCCUUCACACACUCAGCUCAGCAGUUAUCAGACCAAUUCUAGUAAUGAAUCCUUGAUUGAUAUCCAAAAUACUGA